rnacentral:lncRNA from 1 species
CUCACACUUCUUUUCUGGCAUUUAAGAACAAAACCUGUGUAAUGUAAACAGUGAAUGUUGGUGUUGCUUGCCAUUAUCACUGCUUCUGUUCCAUUUCUGCGGAAGCAGAAAUGCUUAAAGCUGUAAUAUUUUGAUUAGCAACAUAAUACCUGCAAUACCUAUAUUAUUUGUAGGUAUACUGAAAGAGAGACAUUUGGAAGGUCAAAUGUAGCCAAGUGGAAGUAUUGCUGUGAGCCCAAUCUUUUGCUGCUGCCAGGCUUGGUUCCUGCACAGAGCUUUCCACAUCUGGAUCAAAGAAACCAAGCAUGAAUGUUUUUCCCCUUUGAGCAACGUCAUGCCAGAUCUUUGACACAAAGCCAGAAUGGUGUGUGUAUUCAGAAGUUCAAAAUGGCUACAAUCCACAGAGACUGUAAAUGGGCCCCUAAUCUCACCUAACUUGCAGGUAUUUUUACAUUGCAGACACAGCUGAACCGGUCAUCUAGGUCCUCAUUUUAGCCAGGGGAGAAAAAAUGAACAUUUCUGUUGCACCAUUUUUUUUUUGGAAUUAAACAAAUUAUGAGCUUUUAGUUCUAUCAUGCUGGAAGACCCCAAAGGGAAUUUUUUUUUAUAGUCAUCUGAGGCUAUGUGGGAUUGACUGGAGCCAGACAGCCACAUGUGGACCCCAGUCUCAUCAUUUUGACACAGAAUUAUCCUGUCCAAGUCCAGACAUCUGACAAAAGAACCUGAGUUCAGACUACCAUUUUUCAGAAACCAUCAAAGAUUGAUGUCUUCCAAGAUCAAGACACUAAGCUGGACACAAGUAUUCCUGUCAAUUACUUCCAAUCACCCCCUGACCUUCUGCUGAGAUUUGUAGAUCAGAGGCAUAUAGUAGCCUCUCAUCAUGAAAAAUAGGGUGCUGUUAGUGCUGCCAUGCUUUGUACUGUGCACUCCUUCACCAAGCCCUGAGCCAUUGAGCUGCAUCUGCUGUCACAAGCUGCCCAGCUUUCUGCACCUCCCACAGCAGCCUUUGGUUCUGGGCAUCUCACCAGGGGCUCACCCGACCCAUGCAGCAGGAGGUAAAAGCAGCAGAGAACUCCAUCCAUCUCAGCACACCACUCAAGAUCGCAUUUCCUGGGUAAGACCAUCUGCACUUCAUCAGGCUACUCAGACCAGCUGUACCUCUUUCCUGACCUGCAGACACCUCUGCCCAGCAGGUUCUGAGUUUAUUUACUUCAGCCUGACAGCUACUCGGAGUAUAUGUCUCUCUUCACUAGCCAUUCAUGCAGCUCUGCAAACAACUGCAGCAUAA